UAUGUGAUCGUCUCUCGCAUAUCAAUAAGCGGAGGAAAAGAAACUAACAAGGAUUCCCCUAGUAACGGCGAGUGAAGCGGGAAGAGCUCAAAUUUGAAAUCUUAAAGGGUUUCCCUUUACGAAUUGUAGUUUAAAGAAGUGUUCUCUGUUGAGGUUUUGGUAAAAGUUCUUUGGAAUAGGACAUCAUAGAGGGUGAGAAUCCCGUAUUUGACCUUUACUUUCAACUUUGUGAUACACUUUCAAAGAGUCGGAUUGUUUGGGAAUGCAGUCCAAAAUGGGUGGUAAAUUUCAUCUAAAGCUAAAUAUUGGCGAGAGACCGAUAGCGAACAAGUACCGUGAGGGAAAGAUGAAAAGAACUUUGAAAAGAGAGUUAAACAGUACGUGAAAUUGUCAAAAGGGAAGCGUUUGACACCAGUGUUGUUUUUCUGGAAAUCAAUUAAAGAACUGUUUAUGCUAAGUUGUUUAGACUUUAUCAGCUAUCUGCUUAGUUUUGAGCUUUUCUUUAAUGCACUUUUCAGUUAACAAGUCAACAUCAAUUUCUUUUGCUGUAAAAAAGCUUGAGGAAGGUGGCUUGAGAUUCGUCUUAAGUGUUUAUAGCCUCUUGCCUAUGCAGUCGGAGAGAUUGAGGUCUGCAGCGUAGAUCCUUCGGGGCUAAAUGCAUUUGUGCUAAGUUAUAGCAUUUUAUAGACAACUUGUUGACUAUGAUUUGUCUUGUAGCUUACUCGCUUAUGUUAUUUUACCUACGCUUAGGAUGUUGAAGAUAUGCGCGACACG
rnacentral:rRNA from 1 species